rnacentral:antisense_RNA from 1 species
GAUAGGCAGUACAACCAGACAGGUACGUACAAUUUAUUUGCUACAUUAUUUUUUAUUUUAGGAAGCAACCAGAUGAAGAGCUCGCAGGCUAUUGAGGCAGAUUAAAGACAGCAGAGGGCGCUCAUAGGUUAUUAGCAAAAUCAAGGAAAACAUUUGUGUAUAUAUGCAAGGUAGAUAAUAAGAAAUAUCAGCACCUUCUAUUGCAUUAAAUUUUUCACUGGGGAUUCACAACUAAAUGGCAGCUACCUGAUGCUCCCCCUUUCUAGUAACUACCUCUGACUUCAUUUCAAGCAUUGUUAAAUGGUGCAUUCUUUGUUCUGUCCUUAACUCUCUCAUUAUCAAAUGAGAACUUGUUUUCUCAUACUGACAAUGACCAUAAUAACAGUGAUAGCUAUUGGUCAUUCAUUGUUUCCUCCAUAUAUUUUCGAUUCAGCAAAUAAUUAUUGAAUAUUGGUUGCAGGAUCUUUGCUGGACAGGAAGCAUACAGUAAUAAAUUGUCAUGAUCCAUAUCUCCAUAGAUUUCACAGUGUAAAGGGAGAGAUAGAAACCACACAAAUAAACAUGGGUAAAAGGAUAAUUAUAAGUUAUGAUAAUAAC